rnacentral:rRNA from 1 species
GAUGAACGCUGGCGGCGUGCCUAAUACAUGCAAGUCGAGCGAACGGACGAGAAGCUUGCUUCUCUGAUGUUAGCGGCGGACGGGUGAGUAACACGUGGAUAACCUACCUAUAUGACUGGGAUAACUUCGGGAAACCGGAGCUAAUACCGGAUGAUAUUUUGAGCCGCAUGGGUCAAAAGUGAAAGACGGUCUUGCUGUCACUUAUAGAUGGAUCCGCGCUGCAUUAGCUAGUUGGUAAGGUAAAGGCUUACCAAGGCAACGAGGCAUAGCCGACCUGAGAGGGUGAUCGGCCACACUGGAACUUAGACACGGUCCAGACUCCUACGGGAGGCAGCAGUAGGGAAUCUUCCGCAAUGGGCGAAAGCCUUACGGAGCAACGCCGCGUGAGUUAUGAAGGUCUUCGGAUCGUAAAACUCUGUUAUUAGGGAAGAACAUAUGUGUAAGUAACUGUGCACAUCUUGACGGUACCUAAUCAGAAAGCCACGGCUAACUACGUG